AACGGGGAUUACACGGUGAUGCGAUUUCGGUCAAAUCAAGUGCAAUCUUAGUGGCGGACGGGUGAGUAACGCGUGGGUAACCUGCCUUGCACUGGGGGAUAACACUUAGAAAUAGGUGCUAAUACCGCAUAAGCGCACGGUCCUGCAUGGGACAGUGUGAAAAACUCCGGUGGUGCAAGAUGGACCCGCGUCUGAUUAGCUGGUUGGCGGGGUAAAGGCCCACCAAGGCGACGAUCAGUAGCCGGCCUGAGAGGGUGGACGGCCACAUUGGGACUGAGACACGGCCCAAACUCCUACGGGAGGCAGCAGUGGGGGAUAUUGGACAAUGGGGGGAACCCUGAUCCAGCGACGCCGCGUGAGUGAAGAAGUAUUUCGGUAUGUAAAGCCUCUGUCAGCAGGGAAGAAAGCAAUGACGGAACCUGCCCAUGAAGCCCCGGCUAACUACGUGCCAGCAGCCGCGGUAAUACGUAGGGGGCAAGCGUUAUCCGGAAUUACUGGGUGUAAAGGGAGCGUAGACGGCUGUGCAAGUCUGGAGUGAAAGGCGGGGGCCCAACCCCCGGACUGCUCCCCCCCCCCGUAUGGCUGGAGUGCAGGAGAGGUAAGCGGAAUUCCUAGUGUAGCGGUGAAAUGCGUAGAUAUUAGGAGGAACACCAGUGGCGAAGGCGGCUUACUGGACUGUAACUGACGUUGAGGCUCGAAAGCGUGGGGAGCAAACAGGAUUAGAUACCCUGGUAGUCCACGCCGUAAACGAUGAUUACUAGGUGUCGGUGGGUAUGGACCCAUCGGUGCCGCAGCAAACGCAGUAAGUAAUCCACCUGGGGAGUACGUUCGCAAGAAUGAAACUCAAAGGAAUUGACGGGGACCCGCACAAGCGGUGGAGCAUGUGGUUUAAUCCGAAGCAACGCGAAGAACCUUACCAAGUCUUGACAUCUGGAUGACAGGGACGUAACGGUCCCCUUACUUCGGUACAUCCAAGACAGGUGGUGCAUGGUUGUCGUCAGCUCGUGUCGUGAGAUGUUGGGUUAAGUCCCGCAACGAGCGCAACCCUUAUCCUUAGUAGCCAGCGGGCAGGGCCGGGCACUCUAGGGAGACUGCCGGGGAUAACCCGGAGGAAGGUGGGGAUGACGUCAAAUCAUCAUGCCCCUUAUGAUUUGGGCUACACACGUGCUACAAUGGCGUAAACAGAGGGAAGCGAACCCGCGAGGGGGAGCAAAUCCCAAAAAUAACGUCCCAGUUCGGAUUGUAGCCUGCAACCCGGCUACAUGAAGCUGGAAUCGCUAGUAAUCG
rnacentral:rRNA from 1 species